GGGAUACCCCAUGCCCGACGUUGAGUGGUUCAAGGACAACCUCAGCAUCUCCAAGAACCCUGACUACAAGACCAGCCUCGAGGACGGCGUGUGCUGCUUGACCAUCGAGGAGACCUUCGCUGAGGACUCGGCCCUCUUCACCUGCAAGGCUUACAACGCCUCGGGCCGCGCCCAGACAUCGGCGUCGCUCACUGUUAAAGAGACAGAGCCCGCGGAAGUGCUGUGUCCGCCGACCUUCACCCGCCGCCUUCCUCCCGCCGUGUCCGCCGUCGAGGGGUCGGAGCUGCAGCUCGAGGCCACCGUCACCGGCCACCCGCUGCCCGUAGUUUCGUGGAUGAAGAACGAGGUGUGCGUGGACGAGUCCCCCGAUUACGUGAUAACCUACAACAACGGCGAGUGCGUGCUUAGGUUCGAGGAGGUCUUCGUGGAGGACGCCGCGAGGUACCUCUGCCGGGCCACCAACGAUUUGGGGGCGGACACUACCGCCACCACCAUGACCGUUGCUGCCAAGUCCGUGUCGAGGGCUCCCGUGUUUGUGAUGCCGCUCAACAACCUGAUGGCGCGCGCUGGCCAGAAGUUCAAGCUGGAGUGCCAAGUGAAGGGCGACCCUCAACCAACCGUGGCUUGGUUCCACAACGGCAGACCCGUCAAAGAGACGCCUGACUGCAAACUCUCCUUCGAUGCCGAUGCCGGCGUUGCCACUCUGUUGAUGUCAGAGGCUUUCCCUAAAAACGGUGGCCAGUACGUCGCUGUCGCUAAAAACACCGCCGGCGAGGCGCAGAGUUCUGCCACCGUCUCGGUCAAGGGUCGUAUUCCGACUGAGACGAGCGACUCAGAGCUGCCGAGCGACGCGGACGUGGAGUUGGUGCGGCCGUCCGUGCAGCUCGCGCUGCGCGACACUGAGAUGCAGGAGGGCGGCACUGCAAGACUCGACUGCGUCAUCGUCGGACAGCCAGAGCCUGAGGUGAUCUGGUAUCACGAUGACAAGCCGGUGAAGGAGUCGUCAGACUUCAAACUGCUCUUCCACGGCGACCGCUGCUCGCUGGUGAUCCACGAGGCUUACCCUGAGGACGCGGGCACCUACAAGGUGGUGGCCCGCAACUCUGCCGGCGAGGCCUCCACGUCCUGCUUCCUUUCCGUCACGCCCGCGCCGGAGCCCGAGCCACCGACACCUCCGGAGCCUGCGGUGGCGCCCCGCUUCACGUGCCUGCUGCAGGACAACCACGUGACGGAGGGCGGGCCGGUCUAUCUCCGCACCUCCAUGUCGGGGUCGCCACGCCCCGACAUCGCCUGGUUCAAGGACGGAAAGCCGCUCAUGCCCGAUCUUACGUUAACGAUCCAGCAAGACGACUCGGGUAACGCAAGCGUCGUCAUUCCUAAUGCAACUUUGGAACACACCGGCCAAUACGAAGUCGUGGCCUCGAACUCAGCAGGCACAGCCAAGUGCAUUGCGUUCUUGAGCAUUGAACAACGACUCCCAACUCCUCCUGCCAGGGAACCCGACACCCCGCCAGUUUUCACGAGACUUCUGAACGACGUGGUGCUCACCCCGGGCGAGUCCAUCAUCUUCGAAGUGGACGUCAAAGGUUCCCCGAAGCCUGUGGUUGAGUGGUACCUGAACGAGGGGCGUGUCACGGGGCAGGAGUACAUGCGGGAUGCCCGCCAGUAUGUGGUGGGGGAGAAGGGAGGGGCAGCGGGGGGAGGGUGGCGUCACUGGCUUACGGUGCCCUCGGUGGGACGACUGCACGAGGGUAGGCUGAUGGUACAGGCCGAGAACCAUGCUGGCCGCGCCCAGGCUGAGGCUGACGUCAGAGUCGUGGAACCUGCAUCGUUGGUAGCAGCAAUGCCCGAGGUCACGAGGGAGGAGGUGAUCUCGACCAAGAGUUCCUCGUCCUACUCGCACACCAGUCACUCGACCUCCUCAUCUUCCUACGUCAAGAAGAUCUUCACCUCGAGCUCCGACGCUCCCCCUGAGACGUCGACACGAGCGACUUCGAGUCAUGCGACUUCGGUCAUCACGAAGGUUGACGAUGCCCCUGUUGUGCAGAUGCACGGGCGACACGAGUCGCAGUUCACGCAGCACGGCGACGCGCCUGCCGUCAUGCAGGAUAAGUCGGGCUUCAUGAAGAUGAUGGGUUCAGUGGUGACUGACGAGCUGAUGCAGGAGAGACGAGUGGAGGCGGCGCCCUCAGUGACGAGUCGGUCAGUCGUGAAGAAGAAGAUGACGACGCCUGCGCGGUUCAUCACGCCCCUGCAAGGCCUCAUCGUCAAGGAACAGGACAAAGUCGUCUUUGAAUGCGUCAUUGAUGGCUACCCUGAACCGGUUGUGAGCUGGAGCCACAACGGAGGGCCGCUGGACGCGUCUUGUGUGCCGUCGGUUCACCUGAACCGCGUGACGCUGGUGCUGCCCUCGGCCACGCAGCAGCACGCGGGCCGCUACACCUGCUCCAUCGACAACGAGGCGGGCUCCUCUCACUGCACCUGCGAUCUCGUCGUUAAAAAGACCCAGUUCCCGCCGGUGCUGAGCAAGCGUCUGCAGCCCGCGGUGCUGGGGGUGGGCGAGCGACUGUUCCUGGAGGUGGACGUGACGGGGACUCCUGAGCCGGAGGUCCGGUGGACCAGGAACGGUCUGCCUCUCGAGGCCUCCGACCGCGUGGCCAUACGGCGCGAGGGAACCAGACACUCGCUCCUCAUACAAAAAGGCGAGCUUUCAGACAGCGCGCGGUACGGCGUCGUGGCCCACAACCCCGCUGGUCGGGCCGAGUGUCUCGCUGACGUCUUGGUUACGGAGCUGAUCAUGCAGCAGAUGCCGCAGCUCCCUGGCGCUCGACUCUUCGCGGACUCUUCAAUGCAGCAGAAAGUCUUUACUUCCAAAACUGAAGAACGAUCUGAACGUAGCACACAGGAUACAACCGACGAUGAAAGCCCACAUCCUGGAAGAAGCAGAGAAAAACAGCAGCCCAGAAAGUCCCAACAGCCCGAUAAAGCACAACAUAAGCCAAAAAGUCCCAAACAAUCCCACGAAGAAAAGUUCUCAAAAUCUUCUUAUCAAACAUCCCCAGGACACAGUCCUUUCUGCGAGGACACUUACUACUCCAAAAGAGACGAGAGCGAUGACUCGACUGACACCUCGAGGAUCCACAGAAAAUUUGAAGUAGUGACUGAGACCCACACCAAGGUAAUGUCCAGUAAAAAAUCGGAAAUUACUAGGAAGUCAUCACGAUCUCCUGCUCGGGAACCGAGAUCCAGUACCAAUAAGCCCAAUGAAGGUUCCAGAAGAGAUGUCAAUGUGGUUGAUAAAAGGAUGCCAUCACCUAAAGAUUUGACCGUCGUUCGCGACACGGGUUCAACAAGCGAACCUCGAAUCAUCCAGGAACCGGUUAAAUAUAUUCCAAAAAUUGAUGCGAAGCUGAAGUCUACGCAACUGGUCAGGGAAGUGCAAAUUGAUGUUGGGAUACCUGAUCUCCCACCUGAAGCCUUUUCAUACCAAAUUGAGGCUCCUAAAGAGAGGAAGCCUCAAGCCGCUCCACCACCUACUCCGAAAAAGUUUGUUCCCGGGGAAUUUCGCGAGAGUGACUAUGAAAGCGCGACAGAAGACCGAGUACGGCCAAAAUGGGCCCCACCCUCGGAUCAAGAGGUGAAAGAAUCUACGUAUACAAAAGUGGAACCAAGUUUGCAUCAUCGAGAACCUAUGCCUAAAGUGCGAACGCCUACUCCACCUUCACAGUUCGAUGUAGCGCCCCCUAGGUUCGAAGGACCACCUCGUCCUAAAAUUGAAUUUCCAGAUUCGGAAUCUGAGGCUGAGAAGCACCAGCUUCCGAUAGUAAGUUCACAACCUAAAAUGAAAAAGGGCCUUUCCAAAAUCUCGGUCAAACCGGAACAAGAAUCGCCUCUAUCGUCGUUUUCUUCUCUUCAAAAAGAAAUGUCACCUGAACUUCAGCCGGAACCAGUGGCAGUUGAAGGUUAUAUCCCUCCUGCACCCCCUCCCAUUUCCUAUCAUACGGACACGCUUGGUGUUGAAUCGACAAAAAUUACCACAAUAUCCGAUACAAGCAAGUUCCAUAGGCGUUUCAUUACCCAACAGCACACCACUCGCGUAUUUAAACUCUCAGAUAUGACAGUUGCUGCUCCUACUAUGCAACAAGCUGCAGCUGAUUCAGAGACGGGCAUGACACACCAAGUGGACGUGAAAAUAAGCCCAAUGGCAGUUGACGCGCCUCCUCCUGAGGCACUACCGUUCACUCCCUUCAGUAGGAGGGAGCGCAAGAAAGAAAGGGUUGUACCUCUAUCCAAACCAUCUAAGUUCAGAAAAGGCGAGUUCCGCGAGAGCGAAUACGAGAGCGAAGACGAUACUAAAAUCCGAUCGAAAUGGCAACCUCCUGACAGCGAUGCUGACGAGCCAAGCUACAACAAGGUUCGUCCGCCACCAUCUUCCCACAAAUCUCACUCAAGGUCAAGAGAGCGAUCGCCGACGCCUCCAUCAGGUUUUGAGAUCCCGCCUAAAACCGGGGAGCCGUUACGUCCUGUUGUGGAAAUUGCAGUGAAUAAAUCCACUCGAACUCCAACUUCUGAUAUUCAGACAAAGAAGGCCGCGUCUUCUCCCAAACAUGCUCCAGAUAGACACAUGGAAGUUACUGAGCAUCCUCCAAUUCCGCCGAGUGAUCACGCUGGAAAGUUGAGCUUCGUCAGCAAAGUAGAAGUUGAGUCUCGACACGCUCCGCCUAUGACAAAAGAGGUCCCAAUCUUCGAGGCGAGACCUUACACAGAGAUAAUUGAAAAAACUGAAAAAAUUUUCACGAAGAAGAACAUAAUCCAAGAAGUCAAACAGCAUCACACUAGAAAAGAAACGACCACUACUACUGUACAAAAACCUCAAGCUGAGAAGCCUGUUACUACCGUCAAUGGUUUCCAAUCAACGAAACCUCCCACCGAAGAGCAACUCGAACUCCAUCCUCCGGAGAAACGCAGCAUCUUCCCCUCUAAAGAAUUGCACGAGGUAGAAGUUUGUUUAGAGGAAUUUCCAUUCAAACCGUCGCCGCCCCGACCCAAAAGAGCUCGCGGAAGUCUCCCACCUACUCCUAAAGUAUUUGUUAAAAGGGAAUUCUCAGAAAGUGAUUAUGACAGUGAAUACGAUGGGAAAAUUAAGCCGAAGUGGAAUCCAUCUGACAGCGAUGCUGAUGAUCUGAGGUACAAGAAAGUUGUGGCUCCCAAAUUUUCGAAACCUGUAAAGAUGGCUGAUCGGGAACGUACUCCUACUCCUCCUUCCAAAUUCGAUGUGCCUCCUGUGCAGGGAGGUCCUCUUCGGCCUGGGAUAAAAAUGCACGAGAGGGUGGUUUUAAGCUCUCUAGGUAGUACGGACUACCCAAUCGCAGACAAAACCAUUCUUGACUCCAAGCCAGACUUGGUUAAUUUGGAGCCCGGUCCACCGCCAGUCGUUGGGUACAUUGGACCUGAAAGAAACGCAUCUUUACGAAAAAAUACGUACGUCGUAGAAGAAAAUUUCAGAGUUACCAUGGAAAAAAGUGAAGAUGAAUAUUGCACGUUAACUGAGUCUGAUUAUACUGAUAGCGAAGUAAGCCGGCUAGCACCUCUUCCAAUGAAACAAGUAUGUGACGAAUCAGCCAAUGUUAAGCAAUCGCAACCGAGUCUCCCAGUGCGAGAAUCAGUAUUUCUAAAAGGAGCUCUGCCUGCAUCUCCAGGAAGUCUCCGUAAGGACCGGCAGAUAUGGCCGCCAAAGACUGGUCAAAUAAAGUCUGACGUAACGCAUACCAGCGGCGAUAAACCUCCAGUGCCUUCACAUACCAAACCUGGAUUACGCGCUCAGCCCAAGCAGCUUUUCGAACCUUCCUUCCUUAACGACAGGGAACGCCGCGAAUCCCUGGAAGAUUAUUCUGUUGCCAAGUUCCCACAUGUUGAAUUCAAGCCCUACGAAGGAAUUCUUGCACCAGCUGUCAACGGCACCCCUCAACCCACCACAGCACCUUCAUCGGCUAAAAAGUACGUGGACCAGCAGCUGGGUGACCUGACGCAUAGUUUUCGCGUUAAAGCUCAGAACUUGACGGAGAAGUUGGUGGGUGAAGUUCUCUGUGCCAAGGAAGACAUCGAGUCAGCGAAGUCUGCGAAAAACUUACAGUCUCGGCCCGGAGAACUCGACUCCUCGGAGCCUCAGGACGCGCUGACAGAACCACAAGUCUACCGAGACGAGUCCCGAGCAUCAGAGUUUGGUACGAAGCACAUCGACCCAGAUAGUGGCCUGAUCUACUUCAAGUAUGACUUUGGCUAUGAGUUUGGCAUCCUGUUGCCCGGUCAAGGCCAACAAGUUGACAAGGAAACUGCUAGCAAAGAUAGCGAAGGCUCGGUUCCCUUUCCAAUAUUGCACACCAAAACUCCCCAGACGCAGAAGGAUUCUAGGAACGCUUCUGCGUCCAAAGCCUCUGCGUGAUGUUGAAGCAGCCGUCGGUCGAGGCCUGCGUCUGGAAUGCGUCUUGCAGCUGCCAGACGCCGCGGGACACGAGGCCUCUCGCCUGUCCUGCACUCCCGGCCCCGACCGCCCGCCUGCUGACUCUACUUUAUUCUCUCCUACUGCCUCGAAUGUCUUGCUUUAUUCACCUCAUGCCUUAUAUAACAAUAUUAUUGACGUACCGAUCACCAUAAGCUCUGAGACAUCCGUAAAUAAUAGCGCUGCGGCCUCCAUCAGCCCUGCCAACAUUCAUCUCUACCCAAAUAAUGUCACCAGCAACACAAUUCUGGUCCACCCCCGCCCUGUCGUGCGAUGGUUCAAGGGGUGCGAGGAGCUCACGCCCCGCGGGUCUCACCACCUACAGGAGUACCGGCGAGGCGUGUGUCGUCUUAUAGUACCUGUCGCCACUGAAGCGGACGCAGGCGAAUACAGUUGCGUGGUGCAGUUCCCUGACGGCAGCGUCGCCCACAGCAGUGCUGCCGUCAGGAUCCAUCCGCCUGACACCUCCUGCAGCAGCGCUGCCGUCAGGAUACACCCGCCUGACACCUCCUGCAGCAGCACUGCCGUCAGGACCUACCCGCCUGACACCUCCUGCAGCAGCGCUGCCGUCAGGACCUACCCGCCUGACACCUCCUGCAGCAGCGCUGCCGUCAGGACCUACCCGCCUGACACCUCCUGCAGCAGCACCCCUCAAGCCUUACCAGGACUUCAACUAUGGGAGCCGAUUAACCAAUGAAAUCUGGGGACUUAACAACGACAUCAUUCUCUUCUCGUUUCAUAUGUAAUUGAUAUUGACAUAUGAUUAUACAAUGUAAAGAUGGUACAAUGUAAAAUGGUCGCUCAAUGUCAUUCAAAAUUUUAUUCAUAAGGGUUUGCAAAAGUCUUUAUUUUUUCGGUAGCUAUCAGGGGUUGGUUUCGUUUACUUCUCUCCAGCUUUGUUUAGAAUAAUUUAGUGCUGAGUAGCGUCUUGCUUUAUUGGGAACUAUGUUAAUACCGUUAGGGAUGUCUCGGGCAAUGGCAUGAUCUUGCUUCUUGAUUUGUUUUACGACUCUUCCACUUACGUCUCCUCACCUGCGUGCCUUAUUCUCUCUUAAAUGAUUUAUGCAGAAUCGUACCGUCUAUCAGACCUGAAUCCAUGCAUGUCGUCUUUCAAUUCAUUGGACGUAUCAGCUGGUUUAUUUGGUCUGUUGUUGUCGAGAUAUGCAGUGAUCAGCAUGAAGCAGGUAGCAAUACUUAGUAGCUGCUAUGGUGUCUUUGGGGCUAGCUUUUGUGUCCCGAAUGAGUUGCGAUAAAUCAACAUUUGAAACAGCUUAGAAAUCGGGAAGGUUAGAACUUUAGCUGUCAUUUAGCACAAUGACGUAGACAUGAAUCAUUUCCUAGGUUUAUGGAAAUGAAUCAUUUCCUAUAUGUAUCAUUUUGGUGAGUAAAUAUCUCGAUCGAGCUCAAGGUCUAAUGAUUCAGGAUUACCCGGAUGAAGUAGUGAACAGUUCUGUUGACUUAUUAUGAGGGCAAAUUAAAGUGAAUUUUUAUUAGUUUGUUGCAUUAUAUAAUUGAUUAAAGCAGAUAAUUACCUUUUUUACACGAGUUCAUAGACUAUUCUAUAGAAUGCAGGGACUGGGAGUGAAGUUGCUGCAUUAGAAUUGGUAGCAAUUUCUCGUCUUUUUUGGCCUAUUGAAUAUGUUAUGGAACUUUUACUAGACGGUUGGGAGGGUAUUACCGCCUAGAAGGGUAUCAAUUGCCGACUAGGAGGGUAUCAGCGAUUGCUGAACAUGGGGUAAUUAUCGAGGUCGACAGCUUGGUCGGGACUAUUUUUGGAUUAUGAAAAUAUUAACGAACGCCAACACCGCUCAUUAAUCAUACACAUCGCAACAAUGCAUGGAUGUCACUACUCAUGUCACUACUCAUUAAGUCCAGGGUUGAACAUUUCGGCUGUGUGACAGCUUUCUGGGCAUGUAUUGCAUUAAGUCUCCACUCUGCGUGAAAUUAGCUAUAAUAUAUAGCCUUUAUUGUGUUGUCUGUAUUUAUCGCCUAGCCUAAUUUUCACUAUAUUGUAUGAUACGUUCUGUGCGAGUCUUGUUGAAUAACUGUUAACCUUGUACACUCUGAAUGUUGAUUUAUUGAAAUUCAUCGCAUAACUUUUGAAUUAACUUUAGCACUUGUUCAAUUCCAAUCACAUCUGCUUUGUUGCUUUUUCUCGUAUAUUGGUCCGCCACUGUGGAAAUAAAUUGUUCCCCUGAUAAUUGGAUGGUUAAGGUAUAUAUGUGUGCUUAGAGUGUUAAACUUUUUGGUAGGAAUGUAAGAAAACUCAAGUCACUGCCUUCAAUGGACUGCUAGAACUCAUAUCACGAUGACUUGUUAUGAUCAUGCAAUAUGACUUGCUUCAUACAGUUGUAUUUAAUUUAUAUAAAGAUAAUACAGAUGACAUAUCACGGAAGAUUAACUGCUAUAGGCACAAUCAAGUCUCAACGCUUCUGGGAAGUCCUAACCACUCUCUUCAUCGCCAGCAGACUUUUCAUGCAACUGAACCUUUCUAUUUCUCUUUUAAAUCGAAUCAGCACGCUCUCUACUUUUCAUAUCACUAAUAAUUCUCUUGUAUGCUACUUGGUUGAAUUUCGUUGCGUUAAGUAAUUGAGUGACUUUGCUAUAAUAUUUCCACUAUUAUUCCUAAAUCUUUUGUCCACGCUUCAGUCUCCUUUAGUUUAUUAUUAAUUUAGUCGUUCACUUCGAUGUUACUUUUCUAAUGAUAAACAAAGUAAGUCGGGGUUGAACCUUCCUGUGCAAUUGUGUUUUCUUUUCAAAAAUUUCAACCAAUUCGGUAAAUAUUUGCUUUCCAUCACGGUGUGAAGCGUGCCUUACAGUCUCAAUUAGCCUGUGGUAGGCGAGUAAAAAUGUGAAUGUCACUACAAAUUUUUCCUGAAACAAAAGCCCUGUUCCACCUAUGUAUCAUUUCUGAUCACUCGAUAAGUCUUUAAACGAUGAUUAGGUCUUGCGAAUGACGAGCUUCAGAGUCUCCAUCAUCAGUGACUCUUGUUAUGACUUGAGCGCCUCGCAAUAUCUGUUAUAACUUGAAUGCGACGCAAUAAACGAUGCGAAACUA
rnacentral:misc_RNA from 1 species